rnacentral:tRNA from 2 species
GGCGGAGUAGCUCAGGGGUUAGAGCAGCGGAAUCAUAAUCCGAAGGUCGGCAGUUCAAUUCUGCCCUCCGCUACCA